CUACGGGCGGCUGCAGUCAAGGAAAUUUUACAAUGCUCGAAAGAGUGAUAGAAUGAGUCAGAGUGUUUCUCUUAGAGAAACUUUUAUCUGUUGUAAAAAGACAGAUGAAUAAGGACUGGGAAAGACCGGUGCCAGCCGCCGCGGUAAUACCGGCGGUCCAAGUCGCAUCCACAUUUAUUGGGUCUAAAACAUUCGUAGCUUGUUUUGUAAGUCUCUUGUGAAAUCUUAUAUCUCAAAUAUGAAGCGUGCAAGAGAUACUACAUAACUAGAGACCGGAAGACGUAAGGAGUAUGGUUGAGGUAGCGGUAAAAUGUGUUAAUCUUAAUCAGACUAACAAUAGCGAAGGCACCUUACGAGUACGGAUCUGACAGUGAGGAAUGAAGGCCAGGGGCGCAAAAGGGAUUAGAUACCCGCGUAGUC
rnacentral:rRNA from 1 species